rnacentral:ncRNA from 1 species
AAGUAAUAUAGGCAAACCCUGAGUGAUCAGGCGACGCAAAGGAAAGGGUCUUUCGAGUACAGGGAUGUACAAGGACUUGUAUAAAUAAGUCCUUCUUUGUAUUAAGGAAGUAGUCCAAAAAGACAGCCUUACUGCUAAA